ensembl:lncRNA
CUGGGCCGGAGACCGGGGGGUCCUGGGGGGCGGGGGGGGGGGGGGGGGCCCGUUUGCAAUAAAAGUAUUUUACUACAGCGGCUGCGAGUGCUGGGGGCACUGGGAGCACUGGUCUGGACUGGGAGCACUGGUUUAUACUGGGAGCACUGCCUGUACUGGGAGCGCUGGUUUAUACUGGGAGCACUGGUCUGGACUGGAAGCGCUGGUCUGGACUGGGAGCACUGGUUUAUACUGGGAGCACUGCCUGUACUGGGAGUGCUGGUUUAUACUGGGAGCACUGGUUUAUACUGGGAGCACUACCCGUACUGGGAGCACUGGUCUGUACUGGGAGCGUUGGUUUAUACUGGAAGCGCUGGUCUGGACUGGGAGCACUGGUCUCGACUGGGAGCACUGGCCUGUACUGGGAGCACUGGUCUGGACUGGGAGCACUGGCCUGUACUGGGAACACUGGCCUGUACUGGGAGCACUGGUUUGUACUGGGAGCACUGGUCCGGACUGGGCUCGGCAGCGGGACCCUCCAGCACCACUCGGAGCCCGCGGAUCUUUCUGGAAAGUUUUUAAUUAGAACCUGGAAAAUCCACCGCAGAGGGGGCGUGGCCUGGGCUUGGCCCCCUCCCCCGGAGUGUCCCCACCCCCAGGGGCGGGGCUACAGCAGGACAAAAGGGGGGGGGGGGGGACGCCCCCCCCCCCCCCCGGGGCCCCCCCCCGAGCCCCAACCCCCCCGCCCCUCCCCCCCCCCCCCCCCCCGGGGCCUUCCUGAGUGCGGGGGGAGGGGACAGCCCUGUCCCCGAGGGGGAGGGGCAGGGGACACCGGCAUCCCCACGGGGGGAGGGGACACCCCCACCCCCCUAAGGCCACCCCCGGACUGUCCCGUGUCCCCCCUUCCCCCCCCCGUAAGGCUCAGGCUCGCCCAGGAUGUCCCCGGGUGACCCCGGAUGUCCCCACGCGGCCCUGGGCCACCCCCGAGCUCUUCCGGGGGAUUCCGGGCCACCGCUCCUGUCCCCAGAGGUCCCCGGGCCGCCCCGGAUGUGUCCCUGGCCUCAGGCCAGCCUUGCUCCCCCCUCCCAGGAGAUGCCCCCAGGUCCCUGGGCCACCGGGAUGUCCCCAGCAGCUCCCAGGGUCCCCUCAAACCCUGGCCCUGUCCCCAAAGGCCCAUCCGGGAUGUCCCCACAUCCUCACAGGGCCCUGCAUGCCGCAGAACGUCCCCAGGUGCAUUCAGGUGGCCUCGGGCCCAGCCAGGUGGGCCUGGGUCCAUCCAGGGCGUCCCCACGGACACCUGGACCCUGCACAAGGUCCAGCCAGGUGACCUUUGGAGGUCCCAGGUCCGUUGUGGACAUCCCGGGCCAAUCCUGGACAUCCCAGGUCCAUCCCAGGCUCCCAGGUCCGUCCCGGACAUCCCAGGUCCAUCCUAGGUCCAUCCAGGACAUCCUGGGUCCACGCAGGAGCUCCAGGGUCCACCCAGGAGGUUCUGGCUCCACCCAGGACGUGCCCACCAAGUCCCGGAGCGCGCUCGAGGUCCAUCCAGGCCAUCCCCGGAUCCAUCCGGGAGCCCCCCGAGGUCCAUCCAGGCCACCCCCGGAUCCAUCCGGGAGCCCCUGAGGUCCAUCCCGGUGAUCCCCGGAUCCAUCCGGGAGCCCCCGUGGUCCAUCCCGGCGCUCCCGUGUCCCCCCGUGGGCGUCCCCCGGGCCGUGCCGCGGCUCAGAGCUUGAGCUCGUUGGCCACCUUGGAGGCGAUGUUCUUGAAGGCCAUGGAGGUGCCGGCGAUGCGCUUGAAGCGGACGCCGUUGAGCGAGAGCCGGGGCAGUUUGCACACCUCCAUCUCCCACUGCACGAAGGAGUCGUGGCCGGGCGCGCCGUGGGCGCAGAGCAGCACGAAGCGCUCCUGGGGCUCGCAGCGGCAGCUGUUGGCGUCCAGCACCUUGCGGAUCUCGCGCAGCAUCUCCCCGGGCUCCAGCGAGCUCGUGGUCUUCAUGCUCCACGUGAAGCGCAGCGAGCGCGGCUUGGCGUCGCGGCCGGCCUCGCGCGGCUCCUUCUCGGGGCCCACCGCGGGUCUGGGGGGAUUGGGGGGGUCAGGGGGGUUCUGGGGGUGAUGCUCGGGG